GAAGGUGGCAAGCGUUGUUCGGAAUCAUUGGGCUUAAAGCGCGCGUAGGCGGACUGGAAAGUGUCUUGUGAAAACCCUCGGCUUAACCGAGGAAUUGCUUGGCAAACUUCUAGUCUUGAGGCAAGUAGGGGUACAUGGAACUCUUGGUGGAGCGGUGGAAUGCGUAGAUAUCAAGAGGAACGCCAAUGGUGAAGACAGUGUACUGGGCUUGUACUGACGCUGAGGUGCGAAAGCGUGGGGGAGCGAACGGGAUUAGAUACCCCGGUAGUCCACGCCGUAAACGAUGUCUACUAGAUCGUGGGAGUUCUGACACUUUCACGGUCGAAGCAAAAGUGAUAAGUAGACCGCCUGGGGAGUACGGUCGCAAGGCUA
rnacentral:rRNA from 1 species